ACUCCUACGGGAGGCAGCAGUGGGGAAUAUUGCACAAUGGGGGGAAAACCCUGAUGCAGCCAUGCCGCGUGUGUGAAGAAGGCCUUCGGGUUGUAAAGCACUUUCAGUAGGGAGGAAGGUAGUGUAGUUAACACCUGCAUUAUUUGACGUUACCUACAGAAGAAGCACCGGCUAACUCCGUGCCAGCAGCCGCGGUAAUACGGAGGGUGCGAGCGUUAAUCGGAAUUACUGGGCGUAAAGCGCAUGCAGGCGGCCUGUUAAGUCAGAUGUGAAAGCCCGGGGUCUUAACCUCGGAAUUGCAUUUGAAACUGGCAGGCUAGAGUCUUGUAGAGGGGGUUAGAAUUUCAGGUGUAGCGGUGAAAUGCGUAGAGAUCUGAAGGAAUACCAGUGGCGAAGGCGGCCCCUGGACAAAGACUGACGCUCAGAUGCGAAAGCGUGGGAGCAAACAGGAUUAGAUACCCCU
rnacentral:rRNA from 1 species